GACGAACGCUGGCGGCGUGCUUAACACAUGCAAGUCGAACGGAAAGGCCCUGCUUUUGUGGGGUGCUCGAGUGGCGAACGGGUGAGUAACACGUGAGUAACCUGCCCUUGACUUUGGGAUAACUUCAGGAAACUGGGGCUAAUACCGGAUAGGAGCUCCUGCUGCAUGGUGGGGGUUGGAAAGUUUCGGCGGUUGGGGAUGGACUCGCGGCUUAUCAGCUUGUUGGUGGGGUAGUGGCUUACCAAUGCUUUGACGGGUAGCCGGCCUGAGAGGGUGACCGGCCGCAUUGGGGGUGAGAUACGGCCCAGACUCCUAGGGGAGCCAGCAGUGGAGAAUAUUGCACAUCGGGCGGAAGCCGGAUGCAGCAACGCCGCGGGCGGGAUUACGGCCCUCGGAUUUAAUCACUCUUUCGCCAGUGACGCCGCGUGAGUGACGGUAAUUGGUAAAGAAGCGCCGGCUAGCUACGUG
rnacentral:rRNA from 1 species